UGCUUGGUGGCAUAGUUGGUAGUGCUGUUGGCUUGCAGCAAGAGGGUCCUGGGUUCAAAUAUCAGCCUGGAAU